rnacentral:rRNA from 1 species
GACGAACGCUGGCGGCGUGCUUAACACAUGCAAGUCGAACGGAAAGGCCCUGCUUUUGUGGGGUGCUCGAGUGGCGAACGGGUGAGUAACACGUGAGUAACCUGCCCUUGACUUUGGGAUAACUUCAGGAAACUGGGGCUAAUACCGGAUAGGAGCUCCUGCUGCAUGGUGGGGGUUGGAAAGUUUCGGCGGUUGGGGAUGGACUCGCGGCUUAUCAGCUUGUUGGUGGGGUAGUGGCAUACCAAGGGUUUGACGGGUAGCCUGCCUGAGAGGGUGACCGGCCACAAGGGGACUGCGGUACGGAGCAGAAUGCAACGGGCGGCAGCAGUGGGAAGUCUGGCGCAGUGGGCGGGAGUCUGAUACAGAGGCGCUGGGUGCGGAAUGACGGCCUAUGGGUGAUAAACAGAUUUCGACGGUAACGAGGCGUGAGUGACGGUAAUGAGUAAAAAAGCACCGGCUAACUACGUG